rnacentral:rRNA from 1 species
UGAGGAAUAUUGGGCAAUGCCCGCAAGGGUGACCCAGCAACGCCGCGUGGAGGAUGAAUGUCGUAAGAUUGUAAACUCCUGUUAGAGGGGAAGAAUAGUACCGGUUGGACCGGUAUAUGACUGUACCCUCAGAGAAAGCCCCGGCUAACUACGUGCCAGCAGCCGCGGUAAUACGUAGGGGGCAAGCGUUGUCCGGAUUUACUGGGUGUAAAGGGCGCGCAGGCGGGAUGAAAAGUCAGUGGUGAAAUCCUACAGCUUAACUGUAGAACUGCCUUUGAUACUUUUAUUCUUGAGUUCGGGAGAGAGAGACGGAAUUCCAGGUGUAGUGGUGAAAUACGUAGAUAUCUGGAAGAACACCAGUUCGAAGGCGGUCUCUUGGUCCGACACUGACGCUGAGGCGCGAAAGCGUGGGGAGCAAACA